rnacentral:rRNA from 1 species
GGAGUUUGGACCGUGUCUCAGUUCCAAUGUGGGGGACCUUCCUCUCAGAACCCCUACUGAUCGUCGACUUGGUGAGCCGUUACCCCACCAACUAUCUAAUCAGAAGCGUGCUCAACCAUAGUCCUUACGUUUCAUCAUCAAAACAUGCGAUUUAAUGACACAUGGAGUAUUAAUUCGGUUUUCACCGGGCUAUCCUCCGACUAUGGACAGAUUGCACACCUGUUACGCACCCGUGCGCCGGUCGCCGCCAUCGGUAUUGCUACCAACGCGCUGCCCCUCGACUUGCAUGUGUUAGGCCUGUCGCUAGCGUUCAUC